AUUGAACGCUCGCGGGAUGCUUUACACAUGCGAGUCGAACGGCAGCGCGGACUUCGGUCUGGCGGCGAGUGGCGAACGGGUGAGUAAUGUAUCGGAACGUGCCCAGUAGCGGGGGAUAACUACGCGAAAGCGUAGCUAAUACCGCAUACGCCCUACGGGGGAAAGCAGGGGAUCGUAAGACCUUGCACUAUUGGAGCGGCCGAUAUCGGAUUAGCUAGUUGGUGAGGUAACGGCUCACCAAGGCGACGAUCCGUAGCUGGUUUGAGAGGACGACCAGCCACACUGGGACUGAGACACGGCCCAGACUCCUACGGGAGGCAGCAGUGGGGAAUUUUGGACAAUGGGGGCAACCCUGAUCCAGCCAUCCCGCGUGUGCGAUGAAGGCCUUCGGGUUGUAAAGCACUUUUGGCAGGAAAGAAACGUCGCGGGCUAAUACCCCGUGGAACUGACGGUACCUGCAGAAUAAGCACCGGCUAACUACGUG
rnacentral:rRNA from 1 species